rnacentral:rRNA from 1 species
GUAAAAGUCGUAACAAGGUUUCCGUAGGUGAACCUGCGGAAGGAUCAUUAUUGAAAUAAACCUGAUAAGUUGCUGCUGGUUCUCUAGGGAGCAUGUGCACGCUUGUCAUCUUUAUAUCUUCACCUGUGCACCUUUUGUAGACCUGAAUAUCUUUCUGAAUGCUUUUUUUAUUUUAGCACUCAGGAUAUGGAAUUGGCUUUGAUGUCUCUUCUUAUAUUUUCAGGUCUAUGUUUCUUCAUAUACCCUAAUGUAUGUUAUAGAAUGUCAUUUAAUGGGCUUUUUAUGCCUUUAAAUCUAUUACAACUUUCAGCAACGGAUCUCUUGGCUCUCGCAUCGAUGAAGAACGCAGCGAAAUGCGAUAAGUAAUGUGAAUUGCAGAAUUCAGUGAAUCAUCGAAUCUUUGAACGCACCUUGCGCUCCUUGGUAUUCCGAGGAGCAUGCCUGUUUGAGUGUCAUUAAUAUUAUCAACCUCUUUGGUUGGAUUUGGGUUUACUGGCCUUGUUGAGGUCAGCUCUCCUUAAAUGCAUUAGCAGACAACAUUUUGUCAACCGUUCAUUGGUGUGAUAAUUAUCUACGCUAUUGAUCGUGAAGGCAGGGUUCAGCUUCUAACAGUCCAUUGGCUUGGACAAAUUUUAUUAAUGUGACCUCAAAUCAGGUAGGACUACCCGCUGAACUUAAGCAUAUCAAUAAGCGGAGGAAAAGAAACUAACAAGGAUUCCCCUAGUAACUGCGAGUGAAGCGGGAAAAGCUCAAAUUUAAAAUCUGGCAGUCUUUGGCUGUCCGAGUUGUAAUCUAGAGAAGCAUUAUCCGCGCUGGACCGUGUACAAGUCUCCUGGAAUGGAGCGUCAUAGAGGGUGAGAAUCCCGUCUUUGACACGGACUGCCAGGGCUUUUGUGAUGUGCUCUCAAAGAGUCGAGUUGUUUGGGAAUGCAGCUCAAAAUGGGUGGUAAAUUCCAUCUAAAGCUAAAUAUUGGCGAGAGACCGAUAGCGAACAAGUACCGUGAGGGAAAGAUGAAAAGAACUUUGGAAAGAGAGUUAAACAGUACGUGAAAUUGCUGAAAGGGAAACGCUUGAAGUCAGUCGCGUUGUCCAGGGAUCAACUCUGCUUUUGCUUGGUGUAUUUUCUGGUCAAUGGGUCAGCAUCAAUUUUGACUAUUGGAAAAAGGUCAAGGGAAUGUGGCAUCUUUGGAUGUGUUAUAGCCCUUGGUUGCAUACAAUAGUUAGGAUUGAGGAACUCAGCACGCCGCAAGGCCGAGUUUUUUUAAACUACGUACGUGCUUAGGAUGCUGGCAUAAUGGCUUUAAUCGACC